rnacentral:rRNA from 1 species
UACGUAUGGUGCAAGCGUUAUCCGGAUUUACUGGGCGUAAAGGGAGCGCAGGCGGCGCGCCAAGUCUGAUGUGAAACCCCGGGGCUCAACCCCGGGCAUGCAUUGGAAACUGGCGGGCUGGAGUGCCGGAGAGGUAAGCGGAAUUCCUAGUGUAGCGGUGAAAUGCGUAGAUAUUAGGAGGAACACCAGUGGCGAAGGCGGCUUACUGGACAGUAACUGACGUUGAGGCUCGAAAGCGUGGGGAGCAAACAGG